GGUGGUUGCCUGUGACGUCACCGGACGCGCCCGCUUCUCGCUGGAGUGCGCACCGAGCGGCAGUGACUUCGCCGCUGCUGUAGUUCCCCGGCUGGAUGCGGUGACUGGUGCCAGUGCUCAGGCGCCCGCUGCCCUUGACCUCCCGCCCCGCGAGCCCUAACUCAGCGCAGGAGGACCGGCUGCCGCCGCCGCCGCCGCCAGAUCCACACAACUUAAAGAUCUGCUGUCGAGUGAAUGGGGAAGUGGUCCAGAGCAGCAACACCAACCAGAUGGUAUUCAAGACAGAGGACCUGAUAGCCUGGGUGUCCCAGUUUGUUACCUUUUACCCAGGGGAUGUCAUCCUGACUGGGACCCCCCCACCUCCACCCAGGUGUCGGUGUAUUCAGGAAACCUCCUGUCUUUCUCAAGGUCUCUGAAGGUCCAGACAGCACUGAUGGCGAGCUUUGGGUCCGCACACUCUGGAAAGAAGAGAGAAGUGAAGGCUCUAGGGGGCAGCAGCCACCAGCAAACACCACUGCCUGCAGGAGCCUGGGCUGACUGGUUGGGACUCACCGAAGAUCCCUUCUUCCUGGGCGGUGGCCUGCAGGAACUGGAACAGCUGCUCUGUGUAGCCCAACUCUGCAGAAGAGAGAAGACCUAGACCUGGCACCCAGCACAGACACAGCCUGCCUCGAGGACUGCAAGGGAACAAGGGCCUCACCAGUAUCGGGCAGCUGGCCCUGGCGGAGGAAGGCGGCAGCCUGUGCAAAGGCCUUGAGCAGCGGGCUGAGCAGGCGGCAGAGGAAAAGAAAGAAAUCUGGGCAGUGUGACUGCUGGCUGAGCUGGAGGGGACAGGCCGGGGUGAGUGCAGCUCCCCACCGCCUCCCUACCACCUCCCUCCAGGGGCAGCUUUUUGAAACACACCCUGAAGUACCGGCCGUCAGCCUCUCCGAAGUCAUCACUGUCACUAUCAGUAAAGUCCCCACUCGGUUUCCACAGCA
rnacentral:lncRNA from 1 species